rnacentral:rRNA from 1 species
GUGGGGAAUCUUGCGCAAUGGGCGAAAGCCUGACGCAGCCAUGCCGCGUGAAUGAUGAAGGUCUUAGGAUUGUAAAAUUCUUUCACCGGGGACGAUAAUGACGGUACCCGGAGAAGAAGCCCCGGCUAACUUCGUGCCAGCAGCCGCGGUAAUACGAAGGGGGCUAGCGUUGCUCGGAAUUACUGGGCGUAAAGGGCGCGUAGGCGGACAGCUUAGUCAGAGGUGAAAGCCCAGGGCUCAACCUUGGAAUUGCCUUUGAUACUGGCUGUCUUGAGUUUGGGAGAGGUGAGUGGAACUCCGAGUGUAGAGGUGAAAUUCGUAGAUAUUCGGAAGAACACCAGUGGCGAAGGCGACUCACUGGCCCAAUACUGACGCUGAGGCGCGAAAGCGUGGGGAGCAAACAGGAUUAGAAACCCCGGUAGUCC